GAAGCAGACACAAGGCAGAAGCACAAGGCCCAGAAACAGGAUAUAUUUCCACUCCUCCAACUUCAGGCACUUUCCUUAGAGCAGUGAUUUAUUUUUCAACACAGAUCAUCAAACAGAUCACUGGGAAUAGUCAUUCCAAAGCCCUCUCGGUGAGCUCUAAGCAAACAAAUAGGGGCGACAGUGAGUGGGGAAGGUAAUGCAAUAUUUUAAUGCAUUAAAAAUUCUGUUGCAUGUAAAUAUUAAGACAAACUUUAAAUGUAAAAAAAGCAAAUGAAAUUGGGUACCACCAAAUAAUGUUUAAAUAAUUCAUGGGCUGAAGAGAAAAUAAAAAUUGAAUAUUUAUAAGUGAAUAGAUUUGCAGUUAAAAUUGUAAGAAGUUGGGGCAGUAUGUAGACUAUAAGGGCAAAUGUAUUCACAAGAAAACAAGAAAAGGUGAAAAUAAAUGAGCUGCCAAUUAAGAGGAAUAAAAUAAUAACACAGGAAAAGAGCAGAUGGGAAAAGUACACACCUGUAUACAUGGAUUUUCUCCAACCUGCAGAAGAAACACUUGCUACCCAUACAGUGUUCUAACAUCAGAAAAAAAGAGGCUAUGACACAGAGGGAGGAGAGUAGGAGCCCCACCCAGGAUAAUGCUCCCAGGGUGAUUCCUAUUCUGGGCAACUGAUGGCUACAGAUCCAGAAACCUUUUCUGGUAGAAAAGAUUAACCUCCAGAAAGAUCUGACAGAGUGUCAGAGGACAGUAUCUGAACAGAGGAAGGUAGAAGGUCAUGGGACAACUGCCUGUGAGGGUUAAUCCUGCAAAGAGGAAUAACAGCUCUCCUGAAGUCUCAGCCUGGAUAGCCCAUCAGUGGCAGCUACAUCGUGAAGGCCAUCAGAACUCCUGGAAGCCAUGGAGAUGGGACACAGUUUGAUGGAGUCGAUCAGAGGAAGCAGCUGCCAUCUUCGCAGCCACACCGC